UAGGGAAUCUUCCACAAUGGACGCAAGUCUGAUGGAGCAACGCCGCGUGAGUGAAGAAGGGUUUCGGCUCGUAAAGCUCUGUUGUUAAAGAAGAACGUGGGUAAGAGUAACUGUUUACCCAGUGACGGUAUUUAACCAGAAAGCCACGGCUAACUACGUGUCCAG
rnacentral:rRNA from 1 species